AGUACGGCCCGGCACAUGACCCAAACUCUAAUGUUUCUUAUUGUAACUUCUGAGUAAAACAAACAAAUAAAUCAAAACUUUCAACAACGGAUCUCUUGGUUCUGGCAUCGAUGAAGAACGCAGCAAAAUGCGAUAAGUAAUGUGAAUUGCAGAAUUCAGUGAAUCAUCGAAUCUUUGAACGCACAUUGCGCCCGCUGGUAUUCCGGCGGGCAUGCCUGUUCGAGCGUCAUUUCAACCCUCAAGCCCCCGGGUUUGGUGUUGGGGAUCGGCUCUGCCCUUCUGGGCGGUGCCGCCCCCGAAAUACAUUGGCGGUCUCGCUGCAGCCUCCAUUGCGUAGUAGCUAACACCUCGCAACUGGAACGCGGCGCGGCCAUGCCGUAAAACCCCAACUUCUGAAUGUUGACCUCGGAUCAGGUA
rnacentral:rRNA from 1 species